CCGAACGGACGCCCUCAUCACCGCGUUUAAUUCUUUACUUGACAGAGUCGCACACCUCCCGUACCAAGAUGAUGCUUAAAGCCGUCGUCCUCCUCGCCAUCGUGGCUUUCGCCGCCGCCGUCCCAGGCACUAAGCACUACCCAGCCCCAGACGGCAGUGGCAGAGUUCUCUAUUUCCCCAACGGCUACAACAGAGGCACCAGCUAUAGCGAGGGUAUUCCCGUCACUGGCAGCGGCCUCGGAGGCUACCGCAGAAGCUACGCCGGCUAUGGCGGCUACGGACGUCGUGCCUACGCCGGUUACGGCUAUGGAAGACGCACCUACGGCCUUAACUACGGACGCAACCUUUAUGGACUGGGAUACGCUCGCCGCAGCUACGGUUUUGGCAAAUACUAUUAAAGUCAUAAGAUGAUACCCUAGACUGUAACACGUAUAUACUCUGACUGGAUCAUAUCACCCGUUGCCAUGACAACACAAGACAUCAUCAACAGCACAUCUAUUUCCAACAGAGGAACCCGAGAGUUGACUUCUACUUCCGAUCUUUUUCCCGAAGACUCCCGAACACUGCCGAAAACUUCGUGAUUUUGAAGUUCCAACCUAAACUUACAUUAUAGCUCAUUCGACACAUUCAUCGUUAUUCAUGUUUGUUUAUACGGAGAUGUAUUCAAUAAAGCUAAUUUUGUACCUUCUA